GCCAGUCAGUCUUGCAGGAGGCUGGACCAAGCACUGUAUAAAAGUCCUACCAGCCUGGGCUCCUCCAUCCACAUCCUUUGUAGAAGCUUCUAGAAGAUCAGGUCCUGCCAAUCAUCCUAGGAUGUCCUUCAAUGAGCAGCAGUGCAAACAGCCAUGUGUGCCUCCUCCAUGUCUUCAAAAGACCCAAGAGCAGUGCCAGGCAAAGGCUGAGGAGGUGUGCCUCCCCCCAUGCCAGGACCCCUGCCAAGAGAAGUGCCCAACGAAAGUUCAAGAGACCAAUGUCCAUCUCAGUGCACGGAGCCCUGCCAGGAGUUAUCUCAGACAAAAUGUGUGGAGGUUUGCCCACAGAAAAUCCAGGAGAAGUGCUUACCCCCUGGCAAGGGGAAGUAGGUGCUCAUAAGGCUAUGUGGGGGUCCAGAAGAUGGUCCCAACCCCAGCCCACAUCAUGGUGACCUUUUCUUAUGGGUACCUCUGUGUGCACCCUGCUAUCGCCUCCUGGCUUCCUCAGGACUUGGUCUGUGUCUCUGAAGACAGUUCUCUCCGUAUUUCCUCAACCUCUGUGAAUACAUAUGGUUGUCAACAAUCUAUUAGAAGGUCUUAGCUGUC
rnacentral:lncRNA from 1 species